rnacentral:rRNA from 1 species
UAGGAAUAGUAAAGGCGUCGCCUUAGUAAACAAGAUUCAAAUUCCCUGGUACUCCCAGGCACACAAAUGAUGUUUAAUAGUCGACUAGGACCCCUAGAGGAACUUAGUGAGCAAGUAAAAACAAUAAGUAGCUUGCCAGGGAAGGAACGGCCGCAAGAAAUAAAACUACAAAUGAAAAGACGGGGGCCCGCACAAGCGGUGGAGCAUGUGAUUUAAUUUGAUGCAACGCGAAGAACCUUACCUGGUCUUGACAUACACAGAAUCUUGUAGAGAUACGAGAGUGCCUUCGGGAAAUGUGAUACAGGUGCUGCAUGGCUGUCGUCAGCUCGUGUCGUGAGAUGUUGGGUUAAGUCCCGCAACGAGCGCAACCCUUGUCCUUAGUUACCAGCGGGUUAAGCCGGGAACUCUAAGGAUACUGCCAGUGACAAACUGGAGGAAGGCGGGGACGACGUCAAGUCAUCAUGGCCCUUACGACCAGGGCUACACACGUGCUACAAUGGUAGGUACAGAGGGCAGCUACACAGCGAUGUGAUGCGAAUCUCAAAAAGCCUAUCGUAGUCCAGAUUGGAGUCUGCAACUCGACUCCAUGAAGUAGGGAUCGCUAGUAAUCGCGGAUCAGAAUGCCGCGGUGAAUACGUUCCCGGGCCUUGUACACACCGCCCGUCACACCAUGGGAGUUGAUUGCACCAGAAGUGGUUAGCC